rnacentral:rRNA from 1 species
UACAGAGGGCGCGAGCGUUAAUCGGAGUUACUGGGCGUAAAGCGCACGUAGGUGGCGACGUAAGUCGGGUGUGAAAGCCCCGGGCUCAACCUGGGAACUGCAUUCGAGAUUGCAUUGCUGUAGUACGGAAGAGGAGGGCGGAAUUCCCGGUGUAGCGGUGAAAUGCGUAGAUAUCGGGAGGAACAUCAGUGGCGAAGGCGGCCCUCUGGUCCAGUACUGACACUCAAGUGCGAAAGCGUGGGGAGCAGACAGG